rnacentral:rRNA from 2 species
GAAUGCUGACAUAAGUAACGAUAAAGCGGGUGAAAAGCCCGCUCGCCGGAAGACCAAGGGUUCCUGUCCAACGUUAAUCGGGGCAGGGUGAGUCGACCCCUAAGGCGAGGCCGAAAGGCGUAGUCGAUGGGAAACGGGUUAAUAUUCCCGUACUUGGUGUUACUGCGAAGGGGGGACGGAGAAGGCUAUGUUGGCCGGGCGACGGUUGUCCCGGUUUAAGCGUGUAGGCUGGUUUUCCAGGCAAAUCCGGAAAAUCAAGGCUGAGGCGUGAUGACGAGGCACUACGGUGCUGAAGCAACAAAUGCCCUGCUUCCAGGAAAAGCCUCUAAGCAUCAGGUAACAUCAAAUCGUACCCCAAACCGACACAGGUGGUCAGGUAGAGAAUACCAAGGCGCUUGAGAGAACUCGGGUGAAGGAACUAGGCAAAAUGGUGCCGUAACU